rnacentral:rRNA from 1 species
GGGACAACAGUUGGAAACGACUGCUAAUACCGCAUGACGCAUAGAGGUCGCAUGAUCUUUAUGCCAAAGAUUUAUCGCUUCAAGAUGGCCUCGCGUCUGAUUAGCUGGUUGGCGGGGUAACGGCCCACCAAGGCGACGAUCAGUAGCCGGACUGAGAGGUUGAACGGCCACAUUGGGACUGAGAUACGGCCCAGACUCCUACGGGAGGCAGCAGUGGGGAAUAUUGGGCAAUGGGCGCAAGCCUGACCCAGCAACGCCGCGUGAAGGAAGAAGGCUUUCGGGUUGUAAACUUCUUUUAAGAGGGAAGAGCAGAAGACGGUACCUCUAGAAUAAGCCACGGCUAACUACGUGCCAGCAGCCGCGGUAAUACGUAGGUGGCAAGCGUUGUCCGGAUUUACUGGGUGUAAAGGGCGUGCAGCCGGGUCUGCAAGUCAGAUGUGAAAUCCAUGGGCUCAACCCAUGAACUGCAUUUGAAACUGUAGAUCUUGAGUGUCGGAGGGGCAAUCGGAAUUCCUAGUGUAGCGGUGAAAUGCGUAGAUAUUAGGAGGAACACCAGUGGCGAAGGCGGAUUGCUGGACGAUAACUGACGGUGAGGCGCGAAAGUGUGGGGAGCAAACAGGAUUAGAUACCCUGGUAGUCCACACUGUAA